UACGUAGGGUGCGAGCGUUGUCCGGAAUUACUAGGCGUAAAGAGCUCGUAGGUGGUUUGUCGCGUUGUCCGUGAAAACUCACAGCUUAACUGUGGGCGUGCGGGCGAUACGGGCAGACUGGAGUACUGCAGGGGAGACUGGAAUUCCUGGUGUGGCGGUGGAAUGCGCAGAUAUCAGGAGGAACACCGGUGGCGAAGGCGGGUCUCUGGGCAGUAACUGACGCUGAGGAGCGAAAGCGUGGGGAGCGAACAGG
rnacentral:rRNA from 1 species